CAGCCAGCUUUGCUAAAACACAGGUCUUGGAGCGAGGGCUUGAAGUGCCGAGGCUCCAGGACCUGGAGGCAAGUGCGAAUCCAGGGCAGCUGGAGGGGGGGACAGGCAACGGGGGCCAGGGAGAUGGCACAGAUGUCCUGAGGUCUCGCUGCCCCUGGCCGUCCUCAGUGACGAAGGCUGCGGAGAUGAAGCUGUGCAGGGAAGCGGCCUCGGAGCAGGCUCGUUACUGUCAUACAGAGUCUCCAUUUUUACUUUCUUGGGAACACGCUGUCCUCAGAAAAGAGAGGAAUGCAUCCUCCUCAAAGUGGUACCCAGUUGUGAUGUCUCGGAAGACAUGAGGCAACAGAGGUUCCCUGCCAGCUCCUUCAGGAGUCAAGCCCGGCUGCUGUUCCCUCCUGCCUCAGUUCUCACCAAUGGGCCUGGGGCUCCCACUGGGUCCCGAGGCAGGACCUUCCUCUGAGGUUCACAAGCUUCUAUGGGUCGUACCACUGAAGGCAAACAAAGUGUUAGCCGAAGCUAUGAAUUUGGCAAAAACUAUUUUCAGGGUCUCUGUUUCCUCUUAAUCACUUCACCCAAUUCAGUUUAGCUUAGCAAAUAUUGAUGGAACAUCAACCACGUGGGAGGAACUCUGGCAGCUCCUGGCAGUAAAGGAAAUAAUUAAGAUAUAACUCUUGCCUUUAAGACCUGAGUCUGGAGACGGACGACAUGUUUCUAAAUCCUCUCUGAACUUUGAGGACAGGAAAGACCUGAUUUUGAUUCAUCUUGCUUUGUCUGCCCAGCCCCAGGCUCAUAUUUGCGGCUGCCUAGUGAAACUUGUCUUCAUGGUGAUCGUGAAUUAAACGCAUGAGAAGUGUUUUCUUUUCAAACUAUGUCUUCCUGGCUUUCUGUUUGUCUCUCACCCGGCUUGAUGCCUCAACGUUCAACCUUCCUCCACUGUUUCUUCCAUGAUGUGCUGGUCGGCAGUAGUUACAGAUAUUUUCCAUUCUCGGGGCUGCUGCUCUUGGUUUCCAGGCUGUGGCCACCUCAAUUCCAGACUACCCUGCUCACGUCUUAACUGGGCCCCCUGACUCUAUUUUCUCCCUCUCUGAUCCAGUCUACUCUUCUUGGCAGACUGGUUUUCCCAAAAUAGCCCCUUAAUCAUGCCGCAUCUCUGCUCCCAAACUUCCAACCCUUCCCUAGUGAAGGAAGUGGAGCCCAUCAUCCCACUCCAACCUUCACUGUCCUUCUCUCGAUGGGUCCAACCUACCUCUCCAAUCUCACUGCUGUACAUUCACUUUCUUGGGCCUCACCUUCAGAUAAACUCAGUGCUACCACUCACACGCACAGGAAGUGGAAAGAAGACUUCAUGGCAAAUCUUAUUGGGUGACCACUUUGAACGAUUCACUGUUAGGAGUCAACAUCCUUUUGUCUCCCAUUUCUGUGCUCAUAUUCAGCAUAGCUAUCAUACAGUCGUGGAUCCCGAGCUAUGGUGCACAUUGAAGUCAUCUGGGGUCUUUAAAAAUACCCCGGCUUGGAUCCCACUCCCUGAGAUUCCAAAUUACCUGGUCUGGGCAUCAGGAUUUUAAAAGGUCUCAACGGACUCUCACUUGCCACCUAACUUGAGAACCUCUGGUUUCCUGGGAAGGCUGCUGUGUGCCAAGCUUUGCCAGUGUUGUAGGACAAGCCACAGCAAUAAUAACAGCCACUUCGUUGGCCACUGUGUGCUGUAAUUUAGCGAGUGACCUGGUAUUGGGCUAAUCUCACUGUGGUGUGAGCCUAAGGAAACUUCCUAAAAACUGU